UACGUAGGUGGCAAGCGUUGUCCGGAUUUACUGGGCGUAAAGAGCGCGCAGGCGGUCGUUCAAGUCGCGUGUGAAAGCCCACGGCUCAACCGUGGAGGGUCAUUGGAAACUGGGGAACUUGAGUGCAGAAGAGGAAAGUGGAAUUCCAAGUGUAGCGGUGAAAUGCGUAGAGAUUUGGAGGAACACCAGUGGCGAAGGCGACUUUCUGGUCUGUAACUGACACUGAGGCGCGAAAGCGUGGGGAGCCGAACG
rnacentral:rRNA from 1 species